GGCGGAGCUUGCGAAAUCGAAAAUUGGUACUUGAAAGUCAAUGGUUGAUCAUGAUGACCAUCUUUAAUUUAAUGGGGAAAGAUUAAUCAACAUUUGCAGCUGGACAGGCUAUCACCACAGUUCAAUGAUUUAGUUAAGACAAUGAAAUAGAAGAACUUCAUGCUAACACUUGCAUCAGUGGAAGUACUUCUUAUUGGAUAGAGAACUUUUCAAGGUCAG
rnacentral:lncRNA from 1 species